rnacentral:rRNA from 1 species
GACGAACCGAGCGAACGUUGUUCGGAAUCACUGGGCUUAAAGGGCGCGUAGGCGGGAUGGCAAGUCGGUCGUGAAAUCCUUCGGCUCAACCGAAGAACGUCGGCCGAUACUGCCGUUCUUGAGGGAUGCAGAGGAGAUUGGAAUUCCCGGUGUAGCGGUGAAAUGUGUAGAGAUCGGGAGGAACACCGGUGGCGAAGGCGGGUCUCUGGGCAUCUCCUGACGCUGAGGCGCGAAAGCGUGGGGAGCAAACGGG